ACUAGUUGUUGGGUCUUCAUUGACUUAGUAACGUAGCUAACGCGUGAAGUUGACCGCCUGGGGAGUACGGUCGCAAGAUUAAAACUCAAAGGAAUUGACGGGGACCCGCACAAGCGGUGGAUGAUGUGGAUUAAUUCGAUGCAACGCGAAAAACCUUACCUACCCUUGACAUGUAUGGAAGUCUGCCGAGAGGUGGAUGUGCCCGAAAGGGAGCCAUAACACAGGUGCUGCAUGGCUGUCGUCAGCUCGUGUCGUGAGAUGUUGGGUUAAGUCCCGCAACGAGCGCAACCCUUGUCCCUAGUUGCUACGCAAGAGCACUCCAGGGAGACUGCCGGUGACAAACCGGAGGAAGGUGGGGAUGACGUCAAGUCCUCAUGGCCCUUAUGGGUAGGGCUUCACACGUCAUACAAUGGGCGGAACAGAGGGUUGCCAAGCCGCGAGGUGGAGCCAAUCCCAGAAAACCGAUCGUAGUCCGGAUCGCACUCUGCAACUCGAGUGCGUGAAGCUGGAAUCGCUAGUAAGCGCGGAGCAGCCAUGCCGCGGUGAAUA
rnacentral:rRNA from 1 species